rnacentral:lncRNA from 1 species
UUAACAAAGAGGCGGCUGGCUAGGCGCCCCCCCCCCCCCCCGCUCCCAGCUCUCCCUUGUCUCCACGACCCACUGACUCCGGCCUGCAAAGGAGGGUCCCAGCGAGAUCUGGAAACGCAAUAAGAGCGGGGGCUCAUUUGCACAUUUCUGCAUAACAUUUGCAUGACAUUCCUAACAGGACAACAGUCCUUCCUCCCCCCUUCCCCCCAGGAUGCGGCCAGGAUCCUCAAUCCCCACUUCUUUCCCUGCUCUCCUCUCCCUGGCCUGUAGUCAUGUCAGGGAGGGCUGGCUCAGCCUGAAAAAAAACAACUGGUAGGGAUAUGCCUAGGUGUGCCUCUCCUCCUUGGCAGAUCUGAGGGGAGAGGGGAUGGGAGUCUUCGUGGGCUCCUGCCUCUACUCAAUACCGCGGCGGGAAGGAUUUAGGUAAGACUCCAAGAAGACUAGACCGGAGACUCUUUCUCUAGGGCAUUUUAAGAGAAGGGACGGCUCUCCAUCUGAAAAGGCUCACCUGCAUUCCCUCAUGGAGACGGAGGGAUGAAUCUGUUGACCCCUCGAGAUCCUUUUCAGCCAGGGAAUUAUGUAACACUACCCCUCAGCUACUGCAGCCUAAAGUCUUUCUUUGGCUGGCUGGUGGUGUUUCUCGUCGAGAGCAGAAGUGGCUAAACGAGGUGCCAUGAGAGCCCUAUAAGGCCUUACGGAGAAGGACAAAGGCCGGGGAAACCAGACUCCUGGGUUUGCUUCCUUGGCUCGGCCCCUCUCCGAGGAAAGGUGAGAGGGCCCAGCCGAAGGCAGCAGAGAGCCUGAGAACGAGAAGACCGAGUGCCGACUCUCUCUCUCCAGUUACUCUCCGCGGAUUCGGGACCCCGGGCAGUACAGUCGAACCAUUCAUCUGGCAGCACAAUAAGAGAUGCUCUCAGCUGUGCAAAGAUAAGGCCGAGUCAGAGUCCUUUCCAGGUAAGUCGUGAGUCCCUACCUCAGCCUGGAAGUAAACCUGGAAGACAGGGGAGCAGCGAUGACGAGUCAGAGAUGAUCAACUGGUUUCUGAAUGGGGAUCACAGAGGAAACGUCAGUUAACUCACCUUCAGAGUCUCCCUGCAAAGACUUUGGAGGGAGCUAAGCCUAGCAGGACACUUGCCACCGGAACAUUCCAAGUCAAAACUAUACCUGCAAACUCCAUCCCAUCGCUAAGUUCAACCUGGCAAAUAAUAAUAAUUUAUAACACUG